rnacentral:lncRNA from 1 species
GUGUGCAGUGCUGAUCCUGGUCGGCGUGGGACUGGAGGCGACCCCCUCUCCAGGUGAGCGACCCUCCCGCCCCCACAGGCAGAGGACACCCCUGUCUUGUGUCCACGGGUCCACGGCAAGCCCUCCCACCUCCCGGCAGUACACGGCUCCUUUUCAGCUGGGAGUGAGGCUUGCCCGGGCAGUCAGCGGCAGCCCGGAAGGCCUCGAAGCCUCCGCCCCCUCGCCCUGACCGGGCUCUGGUCCCUCCCGCAGGUGUCUCCAGCGCCAUCUUCUUCGUGCCGGGCUUCCUGUUGUUGGUGCCUGGAGGGCCACCGGGGCUUCCAGUUCUUCUACCUGCCCUACUUCGAGAAGUGAUCGCGGCGCAGCGUGGACCCCUUGCGCCCAUGGGGGCGCCCCUCUUGCCCUGUUCCGUUCCCCUCAUCUCAAGGGAAGAGGCCCUCCAGGACCCUCGAAACCCCAGCCCCUAGGGAGUUUGCUCAGGAAGUUCGGGGCAUGCAGGCCUGGCCCUGGGAAAGCCGCCCGUCGCCUGCUCUGUGCCUUAACUUAUUCUCGGGCCGUGCGGCUGCUAGGUUGCUGUUAUUUUGUGCUAAUAAAAGAGUAAUUAAUUCCA